CUAUGUUCAUCUGUUUUAUUAAAUUCCACAUAUGAGUGAAAUCACAUGGUAUUUGUCUUUCUCUGACUUAUUUCGCUUAGCAAACAUAAUGCACUCUAGUUCCAUCCACGUCAUUGCAAAUGACACGAUUUCAUUCUUUUCGA